CAUGACAAGUAUUUAACAGCAGGCGACAACGAAGAAUCCACGAUCCAAGAUCGUGCUGGCUCGUCGAACAAUGCUAAAUGGACGGUCGAGUUUGUUGAAGGUGUGGACAAUAUCAUACGUUUGAAAAGUUGUUACGGAAAAUACCUUUCAGCCUCGGACGAGCAAUUUCUUCUAGGUGUGACCGGUAAUAAAGUUGUUCAAACUUUUCCACGAAAAUUGGAUUCAUCGGUUGAAUGGGAGCCUAUACGAGACGGUAUGAAAAUAAAGCUUAAAACAAGAUAUGGGGAUUAUUUACGCGCAAAUGGAGGUUUGCCUCCUUGGAGAAACUCGGUAACUCACGAUAUUCCCCAUAGACAUCACGACUGGAUUUUAUGGGACGUCGAUGUUGUUGAGAUUCGACAAGAAUCGCCACAAAAGUUGUUACGGAAAAUACCUUUCAGCCUCGGACGAGCAAUUUCUUCUAGGUGUGACCGGUAAUAAAGUUGUUCAAACUUUUCCACGAAAAUUGGAUUCAUCGGUUGAAUGGGAGCCUAUACGAGACGGUAUGAAAAUAAAGCUUAAAACAAGAUAUGGGGAUUAUUU
rnacentral:lncRNA from 1 species